AAAAAACAACUUUGGGGGACUAUUUGGAAGGCAUGACGGGUUUUGAAAUGUGAAUGUAUGAGAUUUGGGAGAGACCAGGGGCAGAAUGAUAUAGUUUGGCUCUAUGUCCACAUGCAUAUCUCAUCUUGUAGCUCACAUAAUUCCUCCCUCUUGUGGAAGGGACCCAGUGGGAGAGGAUUGAAUCAUUGAAUUGUAGAUGAUUGAACAGCAUCUUUUCUGUGCUGUUCUCAUGACAGUGAAUGGGUUUCAUGAGAUCUGAUGGUUUUAAAAACGAAAGUUUCUUUUCACAAGCUCUCUGUCUGCUGCCAUCCAUGUAAGAAGUGAUUUGCUCCUCCUUGCCUUCCAUCAUGAUUGUGAGGCUUCCCAAGCCAUGUGGAACUAGGAAGAAACAGAGCCACUGAGAGAAAGGACUUGGUCACACUAGCAAAGCCAGUAUUAAAACACAAACAGCGGCCGGGAGCUGUGGCUCAUGCCUGUAAUCCAGCACUUUGAGAGGCCAAGGUGGGCGAAUCACGAGGACAGGAGUUCGAGACCAGCCUGACCAACAUGGUGAACUCCCAUCACUACUAAAAAUACAAAAAUUAGCUGGGCAUGAUGGCAGGCACCUGUAGUCCCAGUUACUCAGGAGGCUGAGACAGGAGAGUUGCUGGAACCCAGGAGGUGAAGGUUGCAGUGAGCCGAGAUCAUGCCACUGCACUCUAGCCUGGUGACAGAGCAAGACUCCGUCAAAAAAAAAAAAAAAAAAAAAACCACAGGCAGCUUGGUAUCCAGAGAUAACCCUCUUCAGUACAACAAUAAAAACUCUCUUCAAGCAGAAAAGACAUAAUUAUUUUUAACACUCAUUUUUAAUAAACAUUUUAC
rnacentral:lncRNA from 10 species